rnacentral:sRNA from 1 species
GAUCCAAGUUCUUUCGAUUAGUCGGAAUGUGUACCUCAUGGCUGGUCUAAGGUCGGGCUGGGAAGAAAUGUUCCGAGGGCUAAAAGUGAUGAUUUGCCUGAGGAGGCUCUAGCUCGUCUAGCGUACCAAUUUCCUAGUGUUGGUGGCUCGAUGUCUAGCCUCGUAGUGGAUUGGGACACUACUAGUCCCAACCAACCCUCAGAUGUUUAGGCACGGGUCAAAAAUACAUAAACCUUGGUUGCUUGACUGAUUACGAUCACAUGGAAGUGGGACAUGAAACACAUGCGUUUUAGGACACCAUGAUGUUACUUAUUCAAGCAUGUCUUUUGGAUCGCUAUUGUGGGGGUCUUGUUCGAGGACGGAUCCUGCACAGAGAUAACUGACCAUUUCCCUGCUAUGUGAACUUCAUCAAAUAGGUCAUGCCAAACAUUCUCCUGCAUGCACUGAAUGUUUCUCUUGAGGAUUCUGAGCAAGUGUUUUAGUAGAUCUUUUAACCUAUUAGUUUGGAAGUAUACAUCAUAUGUUUCCUUGCUUGAAUGUUGAAUCCUAACUUUCGUGCUCUUUAAUGAAGAAUUUAAGUUCAUCUAUAUUCUCUAAUCUGAUAUGUUUCCUUGCUGAGAGCUAAUGUUG